AAGGCUGUGGCUUAGUGAUAAAGCAUCUGCUUUGGACACAGAAAGUCCCAGGUUAAAUCCUGACCUUUUCA